AAAAGUCUUGGUGCAAGAAUUGCAAUGAAGUCUAGUCUUAAAUCCCUUUGAAACAAUGAAUUGGAGACUUACUGCUUGAAGUUUAGUACAUAUUUGUAAUUGCUUCUAUUAAAGUCAGAUUGCAUCUUCUUCGCAUCCACCUCAUAUCUGAAAAAUGGUUUGCCCAAUUUGUGCCUCAAUGCCAUGGGGAGAUCCAAAUUACAGGAGUGCUAACUUCAUGGAGCACCUUCAAAGACGACACCGGUUUUCAUAUGAUACUUUUGUGGAUUAUGAUGCUGAUGAAGAUGAUAUGAUGGCAC